GCCUGAACUGAAACAUCUAAGUAGGGCGAGGAAGAGAAAUCAACCGAGAUUCCGCUAGUAGUGGCGAGCGAACGCGGAAGAGGCCAAACCAAGAGUAGUAAUACUUUUGGGGUUUUGGACAGCGUACGGUAUUAACUGCGGUUAGUAGAAUGAAAUGGGAAGUUCAACCACAGAGCGUGAUAGUCGCGUACACGAAAACUAAAGUUAGCCAGCUGGAUCCAGAGUACCGCCGGACACGUGAAACCCGGUGGGAAGACGGGGGGACCACCCUCCAAGCCUAAAUACUCUCCAAUGACCGAUAGUGUAUAGUACUGUGAAGGAAAGGUGAAAAGAACCCCUGGCGGGGAGUGAAAUAGAACCUGAAACCUUGUGCCUACAAGCACAUAGAGCGCGUCAAUGCGUGAUAUGGUACCUUUUGUAGAAUGGUCCGGCGAGUGAAUGUCACUGGCAAGGUUAAGCUCUUCAGGAGUGCAGCCGAAGCGAAAGCGAGUCUGAAAUGGGCGUUUUAGUCAGUGGUAUUCGACCCGAAACCGGGUGACCUAGCCAUGAGCAGGCUGAAGUGGAGGUAAAACUCCAUGGAGGGCCGAACCCACUCCCGUUGAAAUGGUAGGGGAUGACUUGUGGCUAGCGGAGAAAUUCCAAUCGAACCCGGAGAUAGCUGGUUCUCUCCGAAAUAGCUUUAGGGCUAGCCUCAAUUAACAUUACCGCAGGUAAAGCACUGAAUGAGCUAGGGGGCGAAAGCUUACUGAACUCUAUCAAACUCAGAAUGGCGGAUAAUGAAUGAUUGGGAGUCACACUACGUGAGAUAAGUUUCGUGGUGGAAAGGGAAACAGCCCAGACCCACAGCUAAGGUCCCAAAGUACAGUUAAGUGGAAAAGGAUGUGAAAUUGCGCAGACAACCAGGAUGUUGGCUCAGAAGCAGCCACUCAUUCAAAGAGUGCGUAAUAGCUCACUGGUCGAGUGAUUUUGCGCCGAAAAUUUAACGGGGCUAAACUGUACACCGAAGCUUGGGAGUAUACAUUUGUAUGUUGGUAGGAGAGCGUUGUGUAAGGGGUGAAGUCGUAGCGAAAGCGGCGGUGGACUUUACACAAGUGAGAAUGCCGGAAUGAGUAGCGAGAAUUAUGUGAGAAUCAUAAUGGCCGAAAGACUAAGGUUUUAGAAGGAAGGUUCGUCCGCUUCUAGUUAGCCGGGAGCUAAGGCGAGGCCGAGAGGCGUAGUCGAUGCACAUACGGUUGAGAUUCCGUAGCUACCUUGCAUUUAAGCGAAGGGACACAUUUGAAGGGCAUGACCCGGGCGUUGGUUGACCCGGGCGUAAGGGACCGAAAAUAAGUAGGGAAGCAUGCUUGGAUGGUGGCGAGAAAAGCUUCGUGUAUAUAAGCAGGGUACCCGUACUGCAAACCGACACAGGUAGUCAGGAAGAGGAUUCUAAGGCCAUCGGGAGAAGCGUUGUUAAGGAACUCGGCAAAUUGACCCCGUAACUUCGGAAUAAGGGGUGCUCACGCGAGUGAGCCGCAGUGAAUAGGUCCAGGCAACUGUUUAUCAAAAACACAGCUCUCUGCUAAAUCGUAAGAUGACGUAUAGGGGGUGACACCUGCCCGGUGCUGGAAGGUUAAGAGGAGGGGUGCAAGCUCCGAAUUGAAGCCCCAGUAAACGGCGGCCGUAACUAUAACGGUCCUAAGGUAGCGAAAUUCCUUGUCGGGUAAGUUCCGACCCGCACGAAUGGUGUAAUGAUCUGGACACUGUCUCAACAACGCACCCGGCGAAAUUGUAGUACCGGUGAAGAUGCCGGUUACCCGCGGCAAGACGGAAAGACCCCAUGGAGCUUCACUGUAGCCUGAUAUUGGGUCUCGGUAUUUUAUGUACAGGAUAGGCGGGAGACUUGGAAACCAGCACGCCAGUGUUGGCGGAGUCACCCUUGGGAUACCGCUCUUAAAGUAUUGAGAUUCUAACCUGCAGCCAUGAAUCUGGCUGGGGGACAUUGUCAGGUGGGCAGUUUGACUGGGGCGGUCGCCUCCAAAAGAGUAACGGAGGCGUUCAAAGGUUCACUCAGCAUGGACGGAAACCAUGCCUUAGAGUGCAAACGCAUAAGUGAGCCUAACUGCGAGACUGACGGGUCGAGCAGUAACGAAAGUUGGAGUUAGUGAUCCGGCGGUAUGUGAGUGGAAAUGCCGUCGCUCAACGGAUAAAAGCUACCCUGGGGAUAACAGGCUGAUCU
rnacentral:rRNA from 1 species